rnacentral:tRNA from 1 species
CCGGGUGUAGCUCAGCCUGGUUAGAGUGCUCGCCUUGGGAGCGAGAAGUCGCCGGUUCGAAUCCGGCUACCCGGA